AUAGGAGUUAUGAAGGGACUUAUAAAUACUCGCAUGAAAGACACCUGUGCGCAUUAACAGUUUUCAAUUGGAGGAAAAAACAACAUUUCACAAGAAUAAAUGUGCAAAAGUAACAAAGUGUUAAAUUGAAGAAAUGAUUCACUCACUUCUGCGGGUGGUUAUUCUCCUGAGUUUACAUGAAGGAUGUCACGUGAAGGCGGACUCGUGUUCCUGUCCUAACCCACCCACGUCAAGCACGUCAGGGUUCACAUCAGUAGAUUAUCUACAACAGUAUAAUGACGUCGACGUCAUUAAUCCAGGACGUGGAAUGUACCAUAUGGUGGAAGCUAAUUCGUCUAACUUCAAGCCACUAAAUGCAA